GUUGGUAUAGUUUAAGCACAAAGACGUUAGAUCGUGAUUCUAAAAAUGUGGGUGUAAAACCCCUUACCCACC
rnacentral:tRNA from 3 species